rnacentral:lncRNA from 1 species
CAAUAACCCAAGGACAGACCUCCUGAGUGUGAGAGGAGACUACUUUCAUGCCACCAACUCCUAGGCUCUCCCUCAUAGCCAGAACAUUCUAGUACCGAAUAGGUAGGGUCCAGAGUCAAGUUCCAGUAUCCUGGGCACAUCUGGUGCCAACUUUUCUAUCUACCACUUUCCCCAAGACUGAGGGAGAGGAGGCCUUCCAAUUGACUGUCCCUGGGGCAGGUCUGCAGAGCUAACCUUAGGGAAAUGGGCAGCAUGCCCAUGACGGGGAUCUGACUUUGCUGAGGCAGGAGGAUGUGGGAGGUGAGCUCUGCCACCUAGGGGCCCAGGUGAACUUAUGCGUGUGUUCCUAUUGGCAAUAGUUGACUGCCCUAGCCUAGAUCAGCCCUGCUGGGCCUCAUCUACUCCCAUGGCCCUGGAGCAGAUCCCACUCAUAUGUUCCCUAAUGGCACCAGUGGUCUCUGUAAGUGAACUUUAGGACAGCAUCAAGUAUAGUUUGUUGUCUAGAAAACACAAAGGCCUAGAUCCCCGUGCUCCAAGGGAUGGCAUGUACCUCCUAGGACAAGACAGUCAGCUAGGCUUAUACCAGACUGCUGCAUUCUAGCCCAAGUCAAGACAUGAGGAAGCUGGAUCACCCAACUCUAGGGUCUUAAGAGAGCUCUGCUUCAGAAUUCUCUGUUCCAUAGAUCCUCCUGGGAACAUCCUUGGUGGCCUUUGCUAGCCUGUCUCCCACCUGCUGCCUGCAAGAUAGGGGUCACCCCUGCGGUGCCAGGGCUAUCCAAACUCUCAGGGUUUGGACCUUUAUUGUGAAAUGGUUUCCUUCAAGAUUAAAACAUUCCAAACUAAAGGGAAGCUCCUAAAACAAGGAGGUGAACAACUCACAAUAGCUUCAGGAAGUCCCUGAAACUGACCAGAUUUACUCAGUGGUAAUAAAGACUGCGGAGAGUCACUCUUGCCUACUGAAACCAGACCAACUUUCUGGGAGAAGCAGAAACCAGUCGAGCAGCCUAGAAGAGUUUUAGACCAGAGGAUACUCUCCGACCUGUUGAGCUGCCUGCAGACUGUACAGAUUCCCAGCACUGUGAACUGUCACCCAUGCCGGGGUGGACCUUGGUCGUGCAGCUGUCUGAGUCAUUUCUGCUCCUCCGAUUCCAACUGUCUGCUCUCCAGGGAAGCUAACUGAUGCCUCAGGCUGAUCUGAGCCCCAGGAAACAAUGGCCUCACAGAGGUGGCAGAUGCAAGCAUGCCCAACACAAUAGAAGCGAUUUGGGAAGGAUGGUACCAUGCAGGGAGGCAGAUGCAUAUGCUGAAAGGAUGGAGAUGAAACAGAGAUGUGGAUCGGACAAAUGCCUGUCUUCUCCUCAGAGGAGGUGGCAGGAAAUGCAGGCACAGAUGCAAGGAGUGCCCCUCCAGCCCACUCCUACAGUUCAGUUCCUGCAAAGCUCCUCCCUCUGCUAAGAACCAAAAACUGUGACACAACAACCCAAUAAACCUUGGGAGACACUGUCCUUGCCCCACUAAGGUCCCCAGCAGGACCAGGGACCCAUGCUGUCAGAGUGAAGGCAACAAGAAGAAACCCCCAUUACUAGUGCAAGCCUCAACAGGGCCUGCCAGCCCUUUCUAUUGUCCCUCAGCGCCACCUUCCAUAGCCAACAACAGCAAUCCCUGCUGAAUAGGCUCUGGUAGUCCGGUUUCUGUGGACAACGGUUCUUAAUAGGCCACCACCUGGGGCAUUCAGACCCUUGCCAGCAUACCACUAAGCUCUGGCUCCUUGCCGAAAGCCAUGAGAGAACCUCUGUCACCAUAGCCAUAAAAGGAAGAGCAGAGAUCCACCUCCGUACAACCUCCUGGAACCUGAAGCCCUCAGAGCUCUGCUCCUAGGGGCUUGCAAUAUGCCAGCUCCUGGCCAGGGAACAUCCAUCCGAAAGGAGCCCGUGGGCACCCCUCUCUGAAGGGUUCAGAACGGGGAUCUGAUAAGCACCAGCUCUGGGGUUCCACAGCUGUCUUAGCCCUUAACACAGACACCCCCUCCAGGGGCAAGAGGCAUUCCAGCGGGACUAUUAGCCAAGUGGCAGUGCCUACAGCCCUCCAACGGACACCAAAAUCUAGUGCAGGGGACUCCUAACAGUGGGCCCUGAGGCCAGUGAUGGGCAACCUGCAGGACGGAGGACAAGAUGGCUCCAACUCCAACAAAGCUAAGAAGCCUAACUCUUCUCCUGUCCACCUCUCCAGUGCCACCCUCUCCCUUACCAUGCUGCUGAAUCUUGCCCCUUCCCCUAAAGAAUUGCAGGAGACUGGGCAAGGAUCUGGUGCCACCCUCUCCCAGGUACUCACUCACUGGAAGGGCAGCUGGGAAGGGCAAGCGCCUGGGAGCAGGAGUGUGGGUGGGUAUCUGAGAACCCAGGGCUGGAGUCAGUGAGGGAGGCAGACUUGUGCAAGGGUUGCCAGAGAAACCUGGCUCCUCCCCCCAAUCCCUGCUUAGCACCUGGGAGGCUGAGUGCCAGGGGCCUUAUCUGUGCAGCUGCCCCAUGUGGGCUUAUAGGCAGCUGCCCCAUGUGGGCUUAUAGGCAGAGUACAGCAGGGUAAACCUGGCCCCUGAAGGUGAGGAAAGACUGAGAGGUUGAACUAAGCAAGGAAGGGUUUGUGCACACCACUGAGGCACCUCCACCCUCUCUGCUCCCCUGGUCCAGAGCUCUCCCCAGGUCCUGGCGCUGACUCAGCUCAUGGUUGCUUCAUGCUGCCUGCUGCAGGCAUACUCCUAGCUCUUGACUCCGCAGCAGCAGCCCGGCCACUUGAAAGCCUGCAGGAUCCCAGAAUGCCAACAGGCAGCUUCUGAAACACGGACUCAGGCAGAAGAGCCAAGCCCUGGAGAGAAGCCAGGGAACUUUUUAUACAGCAGCCUGGUGAAGGUUCUCUCCACCUGCAACUUCCAGUGACGCCAGCAGGUGGUGCCCUCUCCCCAAACUGUUUGUGGAGUUCUCCAAUUGCAGAUGCCACCAAAGGACACAGAGCACCCCUCCCACCCAAAAAGCACUUCAGAAAAAAAAAAUUUUUUUUUUAAUCAGGAAAUUCCUCAGCUGGGAGCAGGGUGGUGGUGGCCAUAAUCCCAGCACUUGGGAGAGAGAGGCAGGUGGAUCUCUGGGUUCGAGGCAGUUCCAGGACAGCCAGGGCUACAC